rnacentral:rRNA from 1 species
UCGCCAGACUCCUACGGGAGGCAGCAGUGGGGGAUAUUGCACAAUGGGGGAAACCCUGAUGCAGCGACGCCGCGUGUGGGAAGACGGUCCUCUGGAUUGUAAGCCACUGUCCCCAGGGACGAAGAUGACGGUACCUGGGGAGGAAGCUCCAGCUAACUACGUGCCAGCAGCCGCGGUAAUACGUAGGGAGCAAGCGUUGUCCGGAAUUACUGGGUGUAAAGGGAGCGUAGGCGGAUUUUUAAGUCAGCGGUAAAAUGUCCGGGCUCAACCCGGGCCGGCCGUUGAAACUGGGGAUCUUGAGUGGGCGAGAAGUAUGCGGAAUGCGUGGUGUAGCGGUGAAAUGCAUAGAUAUCACGCAGAACUCCGAUUGCGAAGGCAGCAUACCGGCGCCCGACUGACGCUGAGGCACGAAAGCGUGGGGAUCGAACAGGAUUAGAUACCCCGGUAAC